GAGUACUCAUUUCAGCGGCUUGUAUACUAAAAUUGGAAUGAUACAGAGAAGACUAGCAUGGCUUUUGCACAAGGAUGACAUGCAAAUUCGAGAAGCAGUCCAUAUUUUU
ensembl:snRNA U6 U6 spliceosomal RNA